GAUGAACGCUGGCGGCGUGCCUCAAACAUGCAAGUCGAGCGAGGCUAUGAGUUACCGCAAGGUAAGGCAUAGCCUAGCGGCGAACGGGUGAGUAACACGUGGGUAACCUACCUGGAAGACAGGGAUAACGAUUCGAAAGGGUCGCUAAUACCUGAUAAUAUCCAUCUGCCGGAUGGCGGAGGGAAGAAAGGGGAAACCCGCUUUCAGAUGGGCCCGCGUCCCAUCAGCUAGUUGGUAAGGUAAAGGCUUACCAAGGCGACGACGGGUAGCCGGUCUGAGAGGAUGUACGGCCACACUGGGACUGAGAUACGGCCCAGACUCCUACGGGAGGCAGCAGUUGGGAAUCUUAGGCAAUGGACGAAAGUCUGACCUAGCGACGCCGCGUGAGGGAAGAAGGCCUUCGGGUUGUAACCUACUGUCAUGGGGAAGGAAGGAAGUGACGGUACCCAACGAGGAAGCCCUGCUAACUACGUGCCAGCAGCCGCGGUAACAUAACUCGUA
rnacentral:rRNA from 1 species